UCUUCAUUGCCUUCUGAUACCUGGAACAGUAUGAAAUUGGUAUGACACGUGCCUCAUUGGGGUUAUAUUCAUAACUUUCUUAUCUUGUGCUGCCAGUGAUGAAGGCUACAUAGCAUCAAAUCAUAGGAUGCUUAAUGAAUGAGUUGGAUUGGCUGUGGAAGGAAAUGGUUACAGCCUGAAUUCAGGUACAAUUCUGGUGUCUGCCUGGAAAAACACAGUAAAACUACAACAAACAUCAGUCAGGAUAGCUGGUCUCUGGGCUAAGAUAUGAACGUCAGAUUCCUGAACAGAAAAGCAGAGUGGUAUCUAUUUGACAGUGUUCAAUGGAAAUGCUCAUUAAUGGAGAAAACUCUCAGACAAUUUUAACCAACCAGUAUGAUCAUUAUAUUUGGAGGUAAUAAAUAAUUUGUGUUUAAUUUUUCUAUAAAACUUCAAUGAAUAUUUAACAAUUUAUAUUCAAGACAUGCUGCAAGAAAUUCAUCUACAUCUUCAUGUAAAAGGGUCUGUUAUUUUUAUUUUAAUCAAAACUGGUAUGUGUCAACAAAUGUUAGCAGACUACCCAAUACCAAUACCAUUGAAAAGUU